UCAGGACGAACGCUGGCGGCGUGCGUAAUACAUGCAAGUCGAACGCUUCUUUCCUCCCGAGUGCUUGCACUCAAUUGGAAAGAGGAGUGGCGGACGGGUGAGUAACACGUGGGUAACCUACCCAUCAGAGGGGGAUAACACUUGGAAACAGGUGCUAAUACCGCAUAACAGUUUAUGCCGCAUGGCAUAAGAGUGAAAGGCGCUUUCGGGUGUCGCUGAUGGAUGGACCCGCGGUGCAUUAGCUAGUUGGUGAGGUAACGGCUCACCAAGGCCACGAUGCAUAGCCGACCUGAGAGGGUGAUCGGCCACACUGGGACUGAGACACGGCCCAGACUCCUACGGGAGGCAGCAGUAGGGAAUCUUCGGCAAUGGACGAAAGUCUGACCGAGCAACGCCGCGUGAGUGAAGAAGGUUUUCGGAUCGUAAAACUCUGUUGUUAGAGAAGAACAAGGACGUUAGUAACUGAACGUCCCCUGACGGUAUCUAACCAGAAAGCCACGGCUAACUACGUGCCAGCAGCCGCGGUAAUACGUAGGUGGCAAGCGUUGUCCGGAUUUAUUGGGCGUAAAGCGAGCGCAGGCGGUUUCUUAAGUCUGAUGUGAAAGCCCCCGGCUCAACCGGGGAGGGUCAUUGGAAACUGGGAGACUUGAGUGCAGAAGAGGAGAGUGGAAUUCCAUGUGUAGCGGUGAAAUGCGUAGAUAUAUGGAGGAACACCAGUGGCGAAGGCGGCUCUCUGGUCUGUAACUGACGCUGAGGCUCGAAAGCGUGGGGAGCAAACAGGAUUAGAU
rnacentral:rRNA from 1 species